rnacentral:rRNA from 1 species
CCAAGUUUUUAAGGGCGCACGGUGGAUGCCUUGGCACCAGGAACCGAUGAAGGACGUGGGAGGCCGCGAUAGGCCCCGGGGAGCUGUCAACCGAGCUGUGAUCCGGGGGUGUCCGAAUGGGGAAACCCGGCAGUCGUCAUGGGCUGUCACCUACUGCUGAACACAUAGGCAGUGUGGAGGGAACGCGGGGAAGUGAAACAUCUCAGUACCCGCAGGAAGAGAAAACAACCGUGAUUCCGGGAGUAGUGGCGAGCGAAACUGGAUGAGGCCAAACCAGUCACGUGUGAUACCCGGCAGGGGUUGCGUGGUUGGGGUUGUGGGAUCUCUUGUUCACGGUCUGCCGGCCGUGGGGCGAGUCAGAAACCGUUGAUGUAGGCGAAGGACAUGCGAAAGGUCCGGCGUAGAGGGNNNNNNNNNNGUAUUGGUGUGAUACCCGGCAGGGGUUGCCAGUGCGGGGUUGUGGGAUCUCUUGUUCACGGUCUGCCGGCCGUGGGGCGAGUCAGAAACCGUUGAUGUAGGCGAAGGACAUGCGAAAGGUCCGGCGUAGAGGGUAAGACCCCCGUAGCUGAAACGUCAGCGGCUCGUUUGAGAGACACCCAAGUAGCACGGGGCCCGAGAAAUCCCGUGUGAAUCUGGCGGGACCACCCGUUAAGCCUAAAUAUUCCCUGGUGACCGAUAGCGGAUAGUACCGUGAGGGAAUGGUGAAAAGUACCGCGGGAGCGGAGUGAAAUAGUACCUGAAACCGUGUGCCUACAAGCCGUGGGAGCGUCGCACAUCGAGCUUGCUCGGUGUGUCGUGACUGCGUGCCUUUUGAAGAAUGAGCCUGCGAGUUAGCGGUGUGUAGCGAGGUUAACCCGUGUGGGGUAGCCGUAGCGAAAGCGAGUCCGAAGAGGGCGUUUUGAGUUGCACGCUCUAGACCCGAAGCGGAGUGAUCUAGCCAUGGGCAGGUUGAAGCGGCUGUAAGAGGUCGUGGAGGACCGAACCCACCAGGGUUGAAANNNNNNNNNNAUUCGAGUUGCACGCUCUAGACCCGAAGCGGAGUGAUCUAGCCAUGGGCAGGUUGAAGCGGCUGUAAGAGGUCGUGGAGGACCGAACCCACCAGGGUUGAAAACCUGGGGGAUGACCUGUGGUUAGGGGUGAAAGGCCAAUCAAACUCCGUGAUAGCUGGUUCUCCCCGAAAUGCAUUUAGGUGCAGCGUCGUGUGUUUCUUGCCGGAGGUAGAGCACUGGAUAGGCGAUGGGCCCUACCGGGUUACUGACCUUAGCCAAACUCCGAAUGCCGGUAAGUGAGAGCGCGGCAGUGAGACUGUGGGGGAUAAGCUCCAUGGUCGAGAGGGAAACAGCCCAGAGCAUCGACUAAGGCCCCUAAGCGUAUGCUAAGUGGGAAAGGAUGUGGAGUCGCAGAGACAACCAGGAGGUUGGCUUAGAAGCAGCCACCCUUGAAAGAGUGCGUAAUAGCUCACUGGUCAAGUGAUUCCGCGCCGACAAUGUAGCGGGGCUCAAGUAUACCGCCGAAGUCGUGUCACUCACACAUUACCGCCAACGCGGGUGUGGGUGGGUAGGGGAGCGUCGUGUGCCGGGUGAAGCAGCCGUGGAAGCGAGUUGUGGACGGUUCACGAGUGAGAAUGCAGGCAUGAGUAGCGAUUCACACGUGGGAAACGUGUGCGCCGAUUGACUAAGGGUUCCUGGGUCAAGCUGAUCUGCCCAGGGUAAGUCGGGACCUAAGGCGAGGCCGACAGGCGUAGUCGAUGGACAACCGGUUGAUAUUCCGGUACCCGCUUUGAAGCGCCCAGUAUCGAAUCUUCUGAUGCUAAGGCCGUGAAGCCGCCUGCUGAGUCUUCGGACGAGGUGGGAGUGGUGGAGCCGCUGGCCCGAGGGAGUAGUAGGUAAGUGAUGGGGUGACGCAGGAAGGUAGUCCAGCCCGGGCGGUGGUUGUCCCGGGGUAAGGGUGUAGCCCGAGUGGUAGNNNNNNNNNNUUGAUCUCUUCGGAGUGAUGGGGAGUGGUGGAGCCGCCGGCCCGAGGGAGUAGUAGGUAAGUGAUGGGGUGACGCAGGAAGGUAGUCCAGCCCGGGCGGUGGUUGUCCCGGGGUAAGGGUGUAGCCCGAGUGGUAGGUAAAUCCGCCACUCACAUGAGGGUGAGACCUGAUGCCGAGCCGAUUGUGGUGAAGUGGAUGAUCCUAUGCUGUCGAGAAAAGCCUCUAGCGAGUUUCAUGGCGGCCCGUACCCUAAACCGACUCAGGUGGUCUGGUAGAGAAUACCGAGGCGUUCGGGUGAACUAUGGUUAAGGAACUCGGCAAAAUGCCCCCGUAACUUCGGGAGAAGGGGGGCCACACCUGGUGAUCACCCUUGCGGUGUGAGCUGGGGGUGGCCGCAGAGACCAGCGAGAAGCGACUGUUUACUAAAAACACAGGUCCGUGCGAAGCCGUAAGGCGAUGUAUACGGACUGACGCCUGCCCGGUGCUGGAACGUUAAGGGGACCGGUUAGCUCCAUUUCGGUGGGGCGAAGCUGAGAACUUAAGCGCCAGUAAACGGCGGUGGUAACUAUAACCAUCCUAAGGUAGCGAAAUUCCUUGUCGGGUAAGUUCCGACCUGCACGAAUGGCGUAACGACUUCUCGACUGUCUCAACCAUAGGCCCGGUGAAAUUGCAUUACGAGUAAAGAUGCUCGUUUCGCGCAGCAGGACGGAAAGACCCCGGGACCUUUACUACAGUUUGAUAUUGGUGUUCGGUUCGGCUUGUGUAGGAUAGCUGGGAGACUGUGAGGCCUGGACGCCAGUUCGGGUGGAGUCGUUGUUGAAAUACCAGUCUGGUCGUGCUGGAUGUCUAACCUGGGUCCCUAAUCGGGAUCAGGGACAGUGUCUGAUGGGUAGUUUAACUGGGGCGGUUGCCUCCUAAAGGGUAACGGAGGCGCCCAAAGGUUCCCUCAGCCUGGUUGGCAAUCAGGUGUUGAGUGUAAGUGCACAAGGGAGCUUGACUGUGAGACUGACGGGUCGAGCAGGAGCGAAAGCUGGGACUAGUGAUCCGGCGGUGGCUUGUGGAAGCGCCGUCGCUCAACGGAUAAAAGGUACCCCGGGGAUAACAGGCUGAUCUUCCCCAAGAGUCCAUAUCGACGGGAUGGUUUGGCACCUCGAUGUCGGCUCGUCGCAUCCUGGGGCUGGAGUCGGUCCCAAGGGUUGGGCUGUUCGCCCAUUAAAGCGGUACGCGAGCUGGGUUUAGAACGUCGUGAGACAGUUCGGUCCCUAUCCGCUGUGCGCGUAGGAGUCUUGAGAAGGGCUGUCCCUAGUACGAGAGGACCGGGACGGACGGACCUCUGGUGUGCCAGUUGUUCUGCCAAGGGCAUGGCUGGUUGGCUACGUUCGGGAGGGAUAACCGCUGAAAGCAUCUAAGCGGGAAGCCUGCUUCGAGAUGAGGGCUCCCACCCACUUGAUGGGGUAAGGCUCCCAGUAGACGACUGGGUUGAUAGGCCGGAGAUGGAAGCCAGGUGACUGGUGGAGUUGACCGGUACUAAUAGGCCGAGGGCUUGUCCUC